UACGAAGGGGGCUAGCGUUGCUCGGAAUUACUGGGCGUAAAGCGCACGUAGGCGGCUUUCUAAGUCGGGGGUGAAAUCCUGGAGCUCAACUCCAGAACUGCCUUCGAUACUGGAGAGCUUGAGUCCGGGAGAGGUGAGUGGAACUGCGAGUGUAGAGGUGAAAUGCGCAGAUAUCAGGAGGAACACCAAUGGCGAAGGCAGCUCGCUGGGACGGUACUGACGCUGAGACGCGAAAGCGUGGGGAGCAAACAGG
rnacentral:rRNA from 1 species